UACGUAGGGGGCAAGCGUUGUCCGGAUUUAUUGGGCGUAAAGAGCGUGUAGGCGGCCAGACAGGUCAGCUGUGAAAACUCGAGGCUCAACCUCGAGACGUCGGUUGAAACCGUCUGGCUAGAGUCCGGAAGAGGAGAGUGGAAUUCCCGGUGUAGCGGUGAAAUGCGCAGAUAUCGGGAAGAACACCCGUGGCGAAGGCGGCUACCUGGACAGAAACUGACGCUGAGGCGCGAAAGCUAGGGGAGCGAACGGG
rnacentral:rRNA from 1 species